GAUACAAUGUUAAAAGUAGCUCCCCGCGAGAGGAGGUGGAUUCGAGUUCAUCUCCAGAGAAACCAGGGCCAUAACUGGCCACAGCAAAGCAUUUCUGCGAGACCCAAAAAUUUCUAAGCGUCAUUCACCACCCCAGGCGCUCGCGGCAGGUUGAUCUGGCUGGCGCUUCAAGCUGGUGAUUCAGGGCAGGGGUCCUCCAGGGUCCAGCUUUGUCUCCAGGCCUGGGAAGCUGGAAAGUCGGGCCCUGGGGAGGAGAUCAGGCUUGGAAUUUCUGUAGGCUAGGUCGCGGAGUUAAAAUGACAACCAUAAGCUAAUACAAGUAACAACUUCCAGGUUAACCUCUCUUCGCAGCUGGGGAAGAGUGAGGCGCAGAGGGAGGUGAAGGAUCUUCUUCACUACCACCCAGCCGAGGAGGGGCGGCAGACCCCGCGUUUGAAGACCGGUCUGCCAUCUCCGAAACCCGGGCGCUCGGCCUCCAAGCCGGAUCUACCACGCCGAGCCACCGCCCGGAAACCGGCGCACGGCCCGCUACCGUCCGGAGGCCGGGGGCUCAAGGAACCCGGCGAGAGGUGGCCGACCAAACCGGGGGGGGGGGGGGGAGCCAAGCGCCCUCGAGUCUCACCCAAGCCGGCGUGGCCACGCGGGCUGGAGGCGCUGCGUGCUGCGGGCGGGGCGCGGGCGGGCCAGCGUGGUGCGCCGCAGCGGAUGCACGCGUGAGCGGGAGCUGAUCCGAAACGCGCUGCCCUCUUUUUCUUUCUUUCUUUCUUCUUCUUCUUUUUGGAGGGGUAUUUGAAGGAAAAAAGAAAGACACCUUUACCAAGAAAAAGAAGAAAAAGACCCCCUCCCCCUUCCGCUUUGUCGUUCAAGUUCCCCCGCUGGACUUGGGAAAGGGGCUCUUCGAAGCGGGUCCUCAACUCAUGGCCCGACUCCUUUUUAGAGAGGAACCCGGAGAAAGGAACUGGACUCCCUGCUCCCUCGCCUUUCGGUCGAGCUUUCGAGGCUUUCGGCGGCCGGGCCGUUGGUCGAUCAACCAACGGAACGUUCAUUGAACAGUUCCUACUAGGUGAAGACUACACGGAGGAAGGCCACUCUUCCCAUCUGGCAGAUGAGACAACUGAUGCGCAGAAAUAGAAUUGACCGAGAUCACGUGGUCAGCGGACCACGUCUACAGCCCAGGCUCUCUGACUCCUUUUGCUUCUGCAUGUUUAAAUAAGUUUGUGCAAGCUUAGAUUCAUUCCUUUUUCAUUUCCCCAGAAAAAUGGAGAUAAUUUCUUGUUUAAUAUCGGAGUUCCUCAGACUUCCUGAAGUUCACCCCAAGAUAAAAACAUCACUUUCCCCACUCCCUUCCCACAUACCUCACUUCUAAGCGAUUGUUGGAAUUGUGAUACUCAGGGGGCCAUUCGGGGCCAGGGAAUGGAGUGUAAUUCAACUGGAUCGCGAUUACAGCUGCAGGCCUCCCAGUGGCAGAUGGUGUGCCGGGAAGGUGGUAGGACAGGUGGGGGGUGGGGUGGAGGGGGACAAGCGGAG